rnacentral:misc_RNA from 1 species
AUAUAAUAUCAUUGAGAGUUUUGCAGGAAGGUGAAGUGAAUAGGAAACUAAGCACUGGCUGCUGCUGCUUCCUCGACAACCUGGUUCGUUGGCUGUAGGGUGCAAAUCAGGUUGCGAUCACCAUACACAUUGUCAACACGUCCUGUUGAUGGCCAGAACUUGGAAGCCCUGAGCCAGGAAGCUGGAAAAGCUGCAUAUUCCCUAGAGUAUGGCUUUGUCCAUGCAUCUCCCAUUAGCAAAGAUGGUG